GAUGAACGCUGGCGGCGUGCCUAAUACAUGCAAGUCGAGCGAACGGACGAGAAGCUUGCUUCUCUGAUGUUAGCGGCGGACGGGUGAGUAACACGUGGAUAACCUACCUAUAAGACUGGGAUAACUUCGGGGAACCGGAGCUAAUACCGGAUGAUAUUUUGAACCGCAUGGAUCAAAAGUGAAAGACGGUCUUGAUGUCCCUUAUAGAUGGAUCCGCGCUGCAUUAGCUAGUUGGUAAGGUAACGGCUUACCAAGGCAACGAUGCAUAGCCGACCUGAGAGGGUGAUCGGCCACACUGGAACUGAGACACGGUCCAGACUCCUACGGGAGGCAGCAGUAGGGAAUCUUCCGCAAUGGGCGAAAGCCUGACGGAGCAACGCCGCGUGAGUGAUGAAGGUCUUCGGAUCGUAAAACUCUGUUAUUAGGGAAGAACAUAUGUGUAAGUAACUGUGCACAUCUUGACGUUACCUAAUCAGAAAGCCACGGCUAACUACGUG
rnacentral:rRNA from 1 species